GGCCCAGUGGCCAAGUGGUAAGGCGUUGGUCUUGUAAACCAAAGAUCCAGGGUUCAAAUCCCUGCUGGGCCU
rnacentral:tRNA from 1 species